rnacentral:rRNA from 1 species
CCUACGGGGGGCUGCAGUGAGGAAUAUUGGUCAAUGGGCGCGAGCCUGAACCAGCCAAGUAGCGUGAAGGAUGACUGCCCUACGGGUUGUAAACUUCUUUUAUAUGGGAAUAAAAUGUUCCACGUGUGGGAUUUUGUAUGUACCAUAUGAAUAAGGAUUGGCUAACUCCGUGCCAGCAGCCGCGGUAAUACGGAGGAUCCGAGCGUUAUCCGGAUUUAUUGGGUUUAAAGGGAGCGUAGGUGGAUUGUUAAGUCGGUUGUGAAAGUUUGCGGCUCAACCGUAAAAUUGCAGUUGAAACUGGCAGUCUUGAGUACAGUAGAGGUGGGCGGAAUUCGUGGUGUAGCGGUGAAAUGCUUAGAUAUCACGAAGAACUCCGAUUGCGAAGGCAGUUCACUGGACUGCAACUGACACUGAGGCUCGAAAGUGUGGGUAUCAAACAGGAUUAGAUACCCCAGUAGUC